AAUAUAUGACACCGUUGACUUUUUGUUUAACGUUUGACCAUUCGUCUUAUUCAAAAAAAUUAUGUAAUUAUCAUUUAUUUUAUUGUAAUUUGAUUCAUCAUUAAAUGUUCUUUAAGCAUGAUAUAAAUAUUUUCAUAUUUGCACAAAAAUUUUGAAUAAAACGAAUGGUCAAACGUUGGUCAAAAAUCAAUGGUGCCAUGCAUU
rnacentral:pre_miRNA from 1 species